rnacentral:lncRNA from 1 species
UUUAUUUAUUCUCCUUAUGGGUGAGUUUCAACUAAAUUUCAAUUUGCAUGUCAUUACUCAAUUAUCUUGCUGUCUCUAAUUUUUUUGAUGUAAGAAAUAGAGCUGACAAGAUAAUUUUAUUUCCAUGUGCAUGUCAUUACUUAAUUAACUUGUCAACUCUACUGAAACCUAACUACAGCCCACACCUCAUUUACUUAAUUAACUUGUCAACUCUACUGAAACCUUACUACAGCCCACACCUCAUUCUUUUGGCAUAGAUUCAGCCACGCCACCCUUGCACCUCAAUUUUUGCAACCUACUGGAUGCCUGAUUGAAACCCAUACUCAUCUUUCCUAUUCAUUGGAUAGAUGAAGUUUCAUUCAGAAGCACUCCCCUAUCUUUAUUAGUGAUAAUUGAACCAGGUGACCCAUACUUAUCCCACUACCUUGGAUGUAUUCUGCUGUCCUUCCCCUUCCCAAGAUCACAAUAGUCAACCGGAGGCACCCAAACGCCCCUUGCAAAUGGUUGAUCAUCAGCCCACAGCUUCUUCUUAAGUUGUGUACAAUCUCUUUCUCUACUCUCCAACUCUCUCCAUCUUCAGUCAUGCCUGAUCUCACUCUUCUCUCUCUCCAUCUUUUGUUGUGCCAAUCUCUC